rnacentral:rRNA from 1 species
UGGGGAAUAUUGCACAAUGGGCGAAAGCCUGAUGCAGCGACGCCGCGUGAGGGAUGACGGCCUUCGGGUUGUAAACCUCUUUCAGUAGGGAAGAAGCGAAAGUGACGGUACCUGCAGAAGAAGCGCCGGCUAACUACGU